rnacentral:rRNA from 10 species
GUUUGACCUCAAAUCAGGUAGGACUACCCGCUGAACUUAA